rnacentral:misc_RNA from 1 species
GGUAAAGGCUAGAGUUUUAGAUAUUCCACUUCAUGGGAUUGGUUUUGAGUUUGUAGAAAUCACACCCCACAAAAUCACUGGUCGUCUUCCUGUGACAGAUAAGUGUUGUCAGCCAUUUAAGGUGCUGCACGGUGGAGUUUCAGCUUUGAUGGCUGAGUCUCUAGCAAGUAUGGGAGCACACAUGGCUUCUGGUUUUAAGAGAGUGGCUGGAGUUCAUCUAAGCAUCCAUCAUCUCAAGAGUGCUCAUUUAGGGGACCUUGUGUUUGCUGAGGCUGUGCCAAUCAAUAUUGGCAAAAGUAUUCAUGUUUGGGAAGUUUGUCUCUGGAAGAUUGAUCCAGCUAAUGAGGAAAAAAAGACUUUGUUAGCAUCAUCAAGAGUUACUCUUAAGGUCAACAUGUCUAUACCUGAAAAUGCUAAAGAUGCUGCUGUGAAUCUCAAGAAAUAUGCUAAGUUAUGAUCAUGUUUAAUUGAGUUUGUUUGUAAGCAAAAUUGUAGAGAGUAACAAGACAAUAAUGCAGAGUUAUGCAAAACAUGUUGUAAACCCCUUUGACAUUUUCUGUCCUGACACGUUUUUAUGAAAAAGUACCCAAAAAAGAGU